GACGAACGCUGGCGGCGUGCUUAACACAUGCAAGUCGAACGAAGUGGCGAACGGGUGAGUAACGCGUAAUCAACCUGCCCUUCAGAGGGGGACAACAGUUGGAAACGACUGCUAAUACCGCAUACGGAAGGAGGGGAUUGCGUCGGAUUGGCUGGUUGGAGGGGGAACGGCCCACCAAGGCGAUGAUCAGUAGCCGGGUGGAGAGGAUGAACGGGCACAUGUGGAAUGAGAAAAGGCCCAGAACCCUACGGGAGGCAGCAGGUGGGAAUCUUCCGAAAUGGACGAAAGUCUGACGGAGCAAAGCCGCGUGAGUGAUGACGGCCUUCGGGGUGGAAAGCUCUGUUAAGCGGGACGCGGUACCGGAAUAGAAAGCCCCGGCUAACUACGUGCCAGCAGCCGCGGUAAUUC
rnacentral:rRNA from 1 species